AUUAAUAACGGGAGUCGAGAACUCCAAAAUUUAAU
rfam:Psychroflexus torquis ATCC 700755, complete genome.